rnacentral:misc_RNA from 1 species
AGUCCUUGAUAGGUUUUGAACCUGUAGAUUUUAGUGAUGGUAAGACAGUCAAAAGUUGAAUGUAAAAUACAACGACAACUAAGCCUUAGUCCCAAAAUAGUUGGGGUCAGCUAUAGGAUCCUUUUUUUGCCAUUCAGCUUUGUUAGACACUAGGUUCACCAGUGUUGAAUGUAAAAUACAUUAAAAAAAAUUGCACGAAAGAUAGCAUCCAGAAAAUUCAUUUACCUAUGUUUCAGAUUCUAAUAAUGAUGUCAAAAGUUACAAUUGCAAAAUAGAACUAUGCGUUGAAAGAAUGAAGGGAAGGAAGAAGGUUUUGUUCAGAAAAGAGGAUCACUUUGUUCUAGCACAGUCUUGUAGCUAUAAUAAAUGAAAAUAUGCUGAUUAUCAACAACAUUUGACAUGAAAGUGCUCAAUAGUCAGUGCCCCAACCAGAUUAAAGAAUGCUAAAAUAAUUUUUGAAGAAGUCUGAUUACAUGCUUACUAGAGAUAUAUACAGCACUAGGCACCUUGGGCUGCAAUUGCAACAAAACCAUUUAGUGAUAAUACAAACUUUUAUGUAAUCACAGGAAAAGGAACCACCAGCAAAACAAGGCUAAUGUCAUCACUUUCAAAUUUCAAAAUAAUCUGGCUACGGUUAACCAAAGAAUAUGGGGGGAAAUACCCCAAGGUUAAUAACCAAAUUUCUCAGCUAGUGAAAUGUUUAGUUAACCAUCAUAUAGAACCUUGUAAAUAACAACUAUCAAACUAUAGCGAUUGAAUAUAACAGAACCAGAAUGGAAAACAGAAUAAUGUUCAAUAAGUUCAUUAAAAGAACACAAAUAUAAUGAGUUUUCAGCAUUAUAAGAUAAAGUAAAAUUCAAACAUUGGAAUGGACUCAUUUGAUAACAGGUCAACCAAUAUUAAGAAACUUGGUAUCAGACAGACCAUAAUCUCAAAAUAUAAACUUAAAGCAAUUUCACAAGAAAAGAUGAAAUGAAACAAUAUCAAUAAAAAGAUGAAAAUUUACAGAUAUCAAUUUUCACCAAAUCUGUCAACAAGAAGAAAAAUGAACUGAUGCUAUUGUAAAAAACGAUACCUGAGGAGAGGUGAGUGGAUUU